GUGCUCGCUUUGGUGCACAUAUACUAAAAUUGGAAUGUUACAGAGAUUAAUUAGCAUGGUCCCUGUGCAGGGAUGACAUGGAAAUUUGUGAAGUGUUCCAUAUUUUA